rnacentral:tRNA from 1 species
UAGAGCGCUGCGUUCGGGACGCAGAGGCCGUGGGUUCAAAUCCCACCAGCCCGA